rnacentral:tRNA from 1 species
AGCCGCGUGGCGUAGUGGUUAAGUGCUUGCACUGCUACUCACACGGUCAGGAGUUCGAGCCCCCUGGGGGUCA